CACCGCGGUUAUACGAGAGGCUCAAAUUGACACUCAACGGCGUAAAGAGUGAUUAAAGGAGUAAUAAAACUAAAGCCGAACCCCCCUUAGGCCGUCAUACGCUUCUAGGGGUAUGAAGCCCCAAAACGAAAGUAGCUUUAAUUAACACCCCUUGAACUCACGACAGCUAAGAAA
rnacentral:rRNA from 1 species